CUGCUAUCGGAUGAUACUAAGCCAUGCGAGUCAUUGUAGCAAUACAAGGCAGACGGCUCAGUAACGCGUAGUCAACCUACCCUAUGGACGGGAAUAACCUCGGGAAACUGAGUAUAAUGCCCGAUAGAACAUUAUGCCUGGAAGGGUUUAUGUUCCAAAUGAUUUAUCGCCGUAGGAUGGGACUGCGGCCUAUCAGUUUGUUGGUGAGGUAAUGGCCCACCAAGACUAUUACAGGUACGGGCUCUGAGAGGAGUAGCCCGGAGAUGGGUACUGAGACACGGACCCAGGCCCUAUGGGGCGCAGCAGGCGAGAAAACUUUGCAAUGUGCGAAAGCACGACAAGGUUAAUCCGAGUGGUUUCUGCUAAAGGAACCUUUUGUUAGUCCUAAAAACACUAACGAAUAAGGGGUGGGCAAGUUCUGGUGUCAGCCGCCGCGGUAAAACCAGCACCUCAAGUGGUCAGGAUGAUUAUUGGGCCUAAAGCAUCCGUAGCCUGCUCUGUAAGUUUUCGGUUAAAUCUGUAUGCUCAACAUACAGGCCGCCGGGAAUACUGCAGAGCUAGGGAGUGGGAGAGGUAGACGGUACUCGGGAGGAAGUGGUAAAAUGCUUUGAUCUCUCGAUGACCACCUGUGGCGAAGGCGGUCUACCAGAACACGUCCGACGGUGAGGGAUGAAAGCUGGGGGAGCAAACCGGAUUAGAUACCCGGGUAGUCCCAGCCGUAAACUAUGCAAACUCAGUGAUGCAUUGGCUUGUGGCCAAUGCAGUGUUGCAGGGAAGCCGUUAAGUUUGCCGCCUGGGAAGUACGUACGCAAGUAUGAAACUUAAAGGAAUUGGCGGGGGAGCACCACAAGGGGUGAAGCCUGCGGUUCAAU
rnacentral:rRNA from 1 species